AACAGCUCAACACUGGACAAGUAAAAUUCUUUGACUAAGAUGCAGAAAAUAUUGCUGUAAACCCAACAGUACAAGCUGAGAGUGAUGUCUUCUGGCUUUCAAGUUUUAAAACCUGUAUGCCCUUGAUCCUACUCCUUCCUCCACUAUUCACCUCCUUGGAAAUCUGAGAGACAUUCAUGUCCCAGGAGUGACCAGCUUGAAGAGAGCUGAAACCCAGCCCCGUUGCACAGCUGGCUCCCAAGGAUCUAUCUUGGCUCUCGACUUCCUAAAUACAGAGUUUAUUUCACCUCCUGGCUCCCUUGUGGAUGUAGGGGCCAUGGGACUAGUUCUGGACGAGGCAUCGUAAAGGAAAAUGAUACGUGUCAACUUAGGGCUGAGCACUUAAUUGAUUGCCCAAGACCUCCAAGUCUUGCUGUGUUCUUUGGCAUACUACACAGUGAUGUUUGCAGUGGGAGCUACUCUGUUAGCCUGGGUGACUAAAUGAUAAUGAUAUGCAAAGCCUCCUUGUUGAUCUAUGAUAGCACCCAGCUAACUUCUCUACCUUGGAGGAUCAGGUGAAAGAAAAACACCAGAUGGGAAGAAAAGUGGAGAGAAUGAUUGAGCCUGGAACCUCAGCAUGGCAUUAUCCACAUGGGCUGUUUUAUCAGUAUGCCUUUUUGUAACCCCAGAUAAGGGAAAACUGUAGCCAGAAAAAGAUGAAAACAGGGAAAUUCAACCAUUGCAGGCAUUUAUUCUUAUCUUUUGUUUUUAUAAAGAAUGACAAAUAA